CAGGCAGCUGGAGUGGAUGGUUGGAAGAAAGCGGGGGAGACGAUCUCUGAGAGGGGGGACGGUAAAGACGGACAGAACGGAGAUCUAUGCCUUCACAUCAUAUCUUUAGAUGUAGCACAAUCCUUCCCUCAUAAUUACUUUUCUACAGUUGCUGAAAUCCAGUUUCAUGGAAAGUCCUGCAACAUAAAUGAUCAUGGGAGCUUCUGAUCGAUUGCUGUCAAGGGUCCUAGGAGUGGCAACAGCUAAAUUUUACCUAAACAUCUCAGAAAAAACACAACAGAGAUGUACCACAACAUACAAGUUUCCAGGAAAUGUCCAGGAUAUUUCCAAAAGCUGCGAGUUGAUGCUUUUUAUGCUUUCAGCGUUACAGUCCAGCUUGAGGAUGUCCAGCGCUGCUCAUUCAUCUGAUCUGGAGUCAUUCACAAUGGGCUCAAAUGAAUUCCACUAAUUCAUUAAAAUUCCUCAGCUGAGCCCAUUUUCUGUGGAGCCUUUGUUACAUUCCCUCAAAAAAAAAAAAAAGAACUGUAGUCAUUGAUGCACAUUAUCUCUGCAUUAUCCACACACACACACACACACACACACACACACACACACACACACACACACACACCCCAUCACACACCAAACACCAUCAAGUGCUUACUUCUCAUGCAAACGCUCAUUGCAGUAACUGCUUUGCCUGAGGACAGCCUCAAUAUAGAUCCACAAACAUGCAAUAUUCCCCUCUCUCUCGGUUUAAUUUAUGUCAGUUCCAGUCAUGUCAUGCAAGAAGUGAUGAAACAUAAGAGAUGCUGAAUAAGAAAUAUUAAAUAAAUAAAACAUGAUGAUUGCCUGCA